rnacentral:lncRNA from 1 species
GAGCAUCUCUCAGUCUUCGGUGCUUCUACGCCCUACUUACUAAGUCUUUUACAUGCAUCGGCCUGGACAAAACAGCUUCUACCUUUGCGUGGGUGCCUUAAAGGUUUUCUAAUUAAGUCUCUCUUUGAAAUCCGUCUUGAGCACAAAAAGUUUUCACAUGAGAAGACUCCAAGACUAUUUAAAUCCCACCAAUUGAGCAAGAUGCUCACUCAUUAUAUAUCGUUCUUGGAGAGACGGUAGAGUAGCUCGGCUGGUCUGAGCUGGGCAUGGUGGUACUUGCCUCUAAUCACAGCUCUUGGUGGAAAAAGUCAGGAGUGUCAUGAGUUCAAGGCCAACCUGGGCUAUAUAAGACUGAAGAACAUAUAACUAGUGGUUCUAAUUUUUUCCUUAUAAAAUCACAUGUUCAUAAUGGCCAAGAGUCGAGUUCUUCAAGGAGAUGGCUUGAAAUCUGUGAUUUCACUUAAGAUUAGUGCUCCUCAAGGCUUCAGGUUUAAUACUCAGCACCAAACAAUACCCAUUUCCCUCCCCCAACAACACCCAGAAUAGGGCUUGUGCAGGUCUUAGAGGGCACUGAGGAAAUUCAGAGGCAGAUUAUGUAUUUGAUGUGAAUGUGAAGUUUUUCAAGUGCCAGUGUCAAGGAGAGCCUUCUAAUUCCCCAUAACUGAUGAGCAGCGUGUCUGUUGUAGUAGCUCUAAGUAACCCAUUCCUCUUUAAAUACAAGGUCUCUGGUAUGAAUAUUGCAUGUCUGUAAAAUGAUGGAUUCCACCGGAAAGGAGCUGUUGCUUUCUUUGAAGUAAUUUUUUCCCUUUUACUCCCUGUUGCUGAACCAUACUACUUUAUAAAUAAUUUUGCUCGCUGAAGGAAGAGAACAUAUUUUUUAUGAACUCAUAAUCUUGGACUGUUUAUAGAUAUUGGGGGAGUGGGUCUUCCCUGGCACCCCAGUGUGCAAGGACAGUGGAGACCUGAUUAUACAGGUAUGUUUAUAAUGCUGUACUGUUAAUGCUGCAAAUAAACGGAAUAGCAAUCAUUUCGAC